GUCUCCCUCUGCCCACCCACCUGCACCUGACAGCUGUGGGCUGUGCUCUCAUGGAGGCACCGUCAGAUGCUACCAGACUACAGAGGAGAGCACCCUCAAUCCUGACUGAAGGUUUGGGAAAAGGCUGCUCAGAAGAGGUGAUACUUGAUACGGGCCCUGGAGGAGGAGAAGCAGUUUGAGAAGACAGCAGUGAGAGAUGGCAUCCGGGCAGGCGAGAAAUGCAAAGGGAAGAGAGGUCAUCCAGGACAAAAGUACAGAAUGAAAAGAAAAAGCAACUAAGCACGAAAUCUUGGAGAAUGUCCUCAUUGAAGGGUCCUGAGCACUAAGGGUACAGUCAAAAAUGAUGAAUCCAGAAAUGAUGCCCUCCAGAACUUCUGGUGAGGAAGGCACUCAGGAAAAUGCAGCACCCUAUGGAGGCCCAGAAAGGAGGGCAUUCAGGAAGAACACAGUCUGAUGGUGUCAACUGCAGUGGAGGCUAAGAG
rnacentral:lncRNA from 1 species